UGUAGUUACAUACGGCAAAAAGAAGGCGAGAAUGAAUCAUCCUGAAGGCUCACCAAAAACCUCCUGCAACCAAUCAUUUGGGGAAUUUGAAAAAAACAGAGCUUGGAGAUGUAGACACAGACUGGUUUUUCUGGCCGGCGAGAGGCAGAGUCCUGCAAGCAGGACAUCCUUUUACAAACUGGAACGUGAGACUGGAAGUCACCGAAAGACCUUGAGGAAGAGAGAGAUGACGUGAAGGGUUUCGAAGGCUCUAUGAAGGCGGGCUUUCAGGGCUGGCUGGAAGACGUCUGCAUUUGCCCAGUUCAAUGAUGGAAGAUGAGAUAGAUGGUAGAUCCAGCUGUCAAACUGCUUGGACGGUCUUAGGCUCAGCGCAGGAAAUGAACGUGAAGGGAGGCACCAUUGCGCUGGAGAGCGGAAGAGAUUUCCAGAGAGGGGAGCUUCGAAUUUGGAAGGAAAAUAAGUGUGUCUGAUGGAGAAAGACUAAGUAGGGUUUGAGUAAGGAAAAAACAAAUGAACAAACCAACAAAACAGAGCUCAGCGUCCUUAAUGGGAAGAACAUAGCCUUACUGAAUAAGAUCAGAAACCUGCAAAAGAACAGGAUGAGACAAAAGCACAGAAGCAUUUGGUGACUAAAAAACAGCAGGAUGCCAGGCAAAGCUAAUAAGCAGAGACAAGACAGAGCAGGCUGAGAUGAGGACCACUUCCAAGUAAAUUAAAUGUCCAAUAACAACAUCAAGAUCUUCCUGGGACGACUAAACGGAAUCACCAACAUUACAAAGACAAAACAAAACAAAACAAAACCCCCAAAUUAAUAGUAAGGAAAAUGCAGCAGACGCUGUUGUGAAAGCAGCUACAGCAUGACACCAGGUUGUCUGCAAACAGAAGCCACCUUUCUUUCGGGUAGCCACACCUCUGAGAAGUAGCCUGACCCCCGUCUGAGGAAAAAUCUCUGUUAAUGAUAAUCUCAUUCUGUUCACCGUGAUUGGCUUAGAGGAGGACACGUGACUUAGUUAAAUGUGAUGCGACCUGCAGGCAAGUCGGCUGGGGGCUCCGUAGAGGAGUUUGCUCGGGAAGAAGACCGCACCCGAAGACAGCUCUUCUUCUAGAAGUGGUCUCGGACUGAACCCUCAAUAUCUGCAAGGUGCAGUGACCUACUUGAUGGAGGAGUUUGGAGGAAAGAAAUGAGCAUGGUUGACUCCGUUCACUCUCCUUCGUCUCUGGGGUCUACAGAAAUCGGUUGACUCCAGUCUGCCUUUAGUCAUGAGUGAAGCUUGUCAGGAAAUGUCUGUUGUCUCCCACCCUUCAGGGGAGGGCUGCCAUUUCCGAGAACUAUCAUCUUGGUUCAGGCAAGGCUGCCAUUCUGGGGGUCAGAAUAGAAAGCCCAUUUUGGCCACACACCUAAAUCACAUUCCUAACCUAUUUGAUAUUUCGAUGUCUAUCAGCCAGCUACUCUGUCUCUCCCUGGUUCAAAAUUAUGCAAAGAAAAAAUGAGAGCUGUGUAUUGAUCCCUUAGAACCCAAUAUAAACAUGUGUCUGGUUUUUUGUUGUUGUUUUUGUUGUUGUUGUUGUUGUUGUUGUUUUUGGUUGUUUUGUUUUCUGGUCUAUUCAGCAUCAAACCAAUUCUUCGCUAUGUCAGGAGGCAGCACCCAGCAGAAAUUGAAGAGACAGACCUUCCAUCAUCUCCUCAACCCUUGGCAAAUAUCUUUGUUUCUCAACCUAUAGAAAUGUCUUCAUGCUGUUUUCCAAACUCAGCUGUCUAGAUCCACUUAGAUGCUAUGAACCCCUCAGGUCCUUUCUGCAGUUUGAAAAUAUAAAGAUUCUCCCUGAUACACUCCCUAGAGCCAUUGUGAGGAAUUAAACCCUUAGUGGUUUAGCUACAUCUUCCUUUUGGUCUGUGCACUGCUCCCCUUCCAAUAAGUCUUGGUGCAAUUGUUUAAACUUAAGAUAGGCAUCAGAAGCAGUUUUCUCCACAAUCUUACAUAUUUAAAGCCUUUAGAGGCAAGAAAUAUAAUUGUUGCUUGGAGCAGUGCCUCCUCUUAAUAUUGCUAUUCCAUUUAUCAGAAAUAAAGUGGUAUCACUAAAAUACACCUAUUUUUUAAAAUUAUAAAAGUAAUGAGUGCUCCCUCUAAAAAUCUUAAACAGUAUAGAUGAGUAUGACGAUACCACUACUCUCAAGAAGUCAUUAAAAUUACAAAAAUGUUCUUGGGUUGCUUUCAGAAAGUUUUGAUGCAUAUAGAGUGCCAUUAUACACAUACAUUUUUUUACACAAAUGAGAGCACGAUGGAACCCAGAUAAAACUGUUUUGUCAUGGUCCAUCCACUUCAGCAUGGGUGCCACACUCAAAAGAAAGCAAGGCCAGGCCCUACAUCCAAAAACUAGUAGGAAAGCAAGUAAAAUCUUCCCAUCAGUAUUAUAAACAAUCAGCAAAUAAAAGAAGUAUUGCCUUGCAUGGCAAAUAGCAAUGUGUUCUGAAAUUGUGUCUCACAUCUUCCCCUUUCUCCCUAAGGUCCUGCUCUUCACACCAUGAUAUCUUUCUCUUUCUCUCUCUCUCUCUCUCUCUCUCUCUCUCUCUCUCUGUCUCUCUAUUUCUCUCUCCCUCCUUCCCACCCACCCCCUCUGCCUUUUCCCCUCUCUCACACCCUUUGUCCUCCCUACUCAAAACAAAAUCAAAAAACAAAAAACAAAAACAGAAACUCUUCAAAUUUUAAUCCAUGCUAGCUUUAGUUUUCCCCCCUUUCCUCCUUCCUCUCCUGAAUAUACUUUUAUCCCUUCAUAGCUUUAGCUCAUUCCAAAAUCAAUAGUCCUCCUAGGAUUCUUUUAGUUCUUCUCUAGAGCCAAUACUGGAUGAACCCAAUGAAAAGUUGGACAUGGCUAGUGGGCCCAAGCAGCAAAGGCACUUUUCUCUUCCAAAAGCCAGUGGAGAGGUCAAGGUUGUGAAUACACACACACACAUCUUGCCCUUGUCCCCCUUGUCACGAUAUGAUACUGUCUACAGUUUGCUUCUUCGACUUAUGAAUUCAUCACAGGCAUGUUUUCUCUUCAGCCCAUGGUGUUCUGCCUCAUUCUUUUUCAAAGGACAUGGUAUCAUAUAGUGUUGAGAAUGCAUUUAACCAGUCCCUGCUGGUAAAUAGAUAGGCUGUUUCUGAUUUGAGACUACCUUAAGGAAUACUGCAAUGAAUAAUUGUUCACAUAUUUCUUGUUCACAUAUUUCUUGAUACAUGAGGGAGUGUAGAUGUGCUCUUGACAACAAUUUGACUUGUGUUUCUCUGGCUCCACUUCCUAUGAUGUAAUAACAACUAAUACUCAUUCUUUAAAUGAAUGAGUGAAUGAAUGAAUGAAUGAAUGAAUGAAUGAUUCAGCAAAUAGCUAGGAAUGUGAUAAUAAACCACAACCAAGGUAAAUGACAUAACAGUGGGCUUGUACAAUAGGAUUUAAUCUCUACUUAGCCAUUCUUGAAUGCAACUUUCUUCACCUGUAAAAUGGGGACAUGCUUUUAAAUACUGUUGAAUGAUUAGAUUAAAUGACAUCAAAAAGGUGCUGAACCCAGGCCAAUGUAAGCUAUUAUUGAACUAAAAUCAUAUGUCCACAUAAAAUGUUUAAGUGGAGUCUGGGUGCCGUGACCCUUUCAUGGAUACGGAAAAUCACCAGAAGUUUUGGUGCAGAAAGAGCUGCCUCAAUCCCUGGAGAGCAUGUUCAUGCCUCCAGGAUUUUGAGUAGUAUUCACAGCCCUGUUAUGGCCAUUGUUAUGUCCUUUGAUCUUCCAAUGACAAUUUCAAAAAUUAAUUUUUUUAGGUGCAUAGUUUCUAUUCUUAGAAGAAAUCUAUAAUGACAGCUAUAGAGUAUUCUAAGCCUUAGGGAAUUGAUAUGCCAUCAUAAGCAAAAACAUUUAUUAAACCAUUGCUUAUAUGCUAGCUGAUAUUUAAGCCAUUGUGUUCUUGACCUUAGGGGAUACAAAGAAGGCAACUAAAUAUUGUGGAAAGAUCUUUGGAGCCACAUAGACCUGAGUUCAAAGCCCAGCAUUCAAUCGUUCAUUCAAUCAUUCAUUCAUUCAACAAAAUUUAAGUUGUUUGAAUGGCAGACACUUAUCCUAACUUUUAAAUAAACAAAUCUCUUUCAUUGUCACUUAAAAGAUAUUUAAACCUUAUCAAAUGACUUAGCUUCCCAGGGUGCCUGGGUGGCUCAGUCAGUUAAGCAUCCAACUCCCGCUCAGGUCAUGA